rnacentral:rRNA from 1 species
AACGAACGCUGGCGGCAUGCCUAACACAUGCAAGUCGAACGCUCUCGGGGCUUUGGUUCCGGGGGAGUGGCGCACGGGUGAGUAGCGCGUGGGAACCUGUCCUUGAGUGGGGGAUAACCGAGGGAAACUUCGGCUAAUACCGCAUGCGCCCCCGGAGAGAUCCGGGGGGAAAGAUUUAUCGCUCGAGGAGGGGCCCGCGUCGGAUUAGGUAGUUGGCGGGGUAACGGCCCACCAAGCCGAUGAUCCGUAGCUGGUCUGAGAGGAUGAUCA